rnacentral:tmRNA from 2 species
GGGGGCGUUAUGGAUUCGACAGGCAUAGUUUGAGCUUGAGUAGCGUUCUGUAGGUUACGGCUACAAUAAAACGUUACAGUUAAAUAUAACUGCAAACAAUAAAAACAACACUUUCGCUUUAGCAGCUUAAUAACCUGUUAGCGAAGAUCCUCCUGGCAUCGCCCAUGUGCUCAGGUAAGGGUCUCAAACUUAGUGGGAUACGUUAGCUCUUUCCGUCUGUAAGUGCUAAAAGAGAUCAUCAGACUAGCAAGAUAAGACGCCUGUCAUGUGGCAGCUUAUCAAGUGAAAUUCCAAUAGCAUGACUAUGAGCGUAGAAGCUUUUGUGGCAAUAUGUUUGGACAGGGGUUCGACUCCCCUCGCCUCCAUUU